UACUUACUGAGCUCUCUUACUGGCCCAAUUCUUUUUAAAACAUUAAGUCAGUGAUUAGACAUCCACUUUAACUUUUCUACUGUUGUUUUUCUUGUAUUUUUGUAGAAACAGCUAAUAUUUUUAAGGUAUAUAGAACAGCAGUAGUGAGGGUUGAGAGGACAGUUCUGAUUUAAGAUGAUCUGUUUUUUUUUAUUAUUUUUUUGAAUUCUUGUAAGUUCUUAGAAAUUACAAAAGAAUUGACUUGGGGAGAUGGCUCACAGGGUUAAGGUGCUUGCCUACAAUCUCGGUGUCCUGAGUUUGAUCCCUAAAACCCCCAUGGUGGAAGAAGAGACCUGACUACCACAAUUUAUCAUCUGACUUCACAUAUAUACUACAGCACAUACCCCUUCUCAAAUAAAUAAGUAAAAUAAAUAUAGUAGCCUUUUAAAAAUUACACAGUAAUUACAUUUUUAUAAGAAUCAUUUAUAAUCAUUGUCAUUUUUGACUUGUUGGAACACAAUUAGUUUUGGGUGUGCAAAGCUCUCUAGGCAUGGUGUAUGGGUUGAGUCUGAGGUCCUCCACAAGCUCCUGCUCUGAUUGCUGGCCUCUCAGUUCGAGCUAUUGGGAAGGCUCUAGAGCAUUCUCUUAAAGCUGCUAGGAGCAGAGCAGUAGAGGAGGGCCUGUGGAAACCUGUUCCUGGCUCUAUUGGAUCUUUCUGCCUCCUGGGAAGCCUGCUGUGAUGGAACCUCUGCCAGAUGCUUCCGUUGGCUACCUUAACCUCUACUAUACUGACUCCAUUGUGCUAGAUUGCAACCUUCUGAAACAAACCUUUCUUAAGUUUCUUGUCCUUGGGUCCAAACACUGUCAGACACCAGAUAAGACCGUUCUGGGUAUCCAAGAAAUGUUUUGAAGACUGUUAUUUAAGUUAGAUGGCCCAGUUCUUGCUAGAUUUUUGUGCCUUUAGCAGUUACCAUUUCUUUUUUGUUUUGUUGUUGUUGUGUAUCUCACUUUGACUUAUAGAAAGGAAUAGUUUGCAUUGAUUGGUGGAGCUACAUGCACAAUUAAGUUACUAGUUGUUUUUGCAAUUACAUAGUGUACUUGAUGGUUUAUUGUCCAAGUUGAAGAGUGGGUAAGCAUUUCUGGGAGUUGUUUUGUUUGUUUGACUUUUGUUUUUUGUGCUUUUGAGACAGGGUCUCACUAUAUAGCUUUAGCUGUCUUGGAACUUGCUAUGUGGACCAGACUAGCCUUGAAUUUACAAGAGAUCUGCCUUCCUUUGCCUCACAGGUUGAUGUAAGCCACUACACCUGUCAAUUUUGGGAAAUACCAGAGAUCUCAUUUUACAAUUCCUAGGAAUUCAUGAGUCAUCGAUGAUGUGAGACAUGUGGAUUUGUGAUAUGAAUUCAGUUGAAAAGCGACUUUGGGAGAAUGCUGUCUGAUGAAAGAACAUAUAUAGGAGAUCGAAAUCCCUGGAGAUGUGAGCAGAAAUAAUAAUUCCUUAUGCUUACAAGUAUCACUGAAUACUUAAAUUUUCAGGACACCCUGUGUGAAGCUGGUGUAUCACCUGUCAGCCUGCUUCUUCAGGUCAUCUGCUUACACAGCUUUCAGCACGGGGCACAUGUUCAAGAUGUUUCCACUGUGUUUGUGGUGGAUUACGUUUGGUCUGCUUCUCUCCUGGAUAUGACCGUGAUUUCUGAUGAAACCAGAUUGGAAUAAUUUUCAUGAUAUUUGUAUAUUUAUAUAUGUAUAUUUUAAAAUUUUACAUUUGACUUAAAGUGCCAUGAGAAAAUUUGCAUAUUGCAAGGU